rnacentral:lncRNA from 1 species
CUAAGUUUCCAAAAUCCUCUGAAUUUCGCUUUUGAUCAAAAAGUUUACCAAAUCACGUCCGAAUGACCUAAAAGUUUUUACACACAUUCCAAAUGACACAACAGAGAAACUGCAACUUCUGGAAUUCUAUUCUGACCCCUUCAUCAAAAUCUCACAUAUCAACCGGAAAAUGCCAAAAUACCAAUUUCGUCCAUUCAAGCAUAAAUCUACUUCGGACCUCCAAAACACAUUAUAAUCUCACUCCUAAGUCCUAAAUCACCUCCUGAAUCUAUUCAAACCAUGGGAACUCACAUCUGAGCCCUCUAACACAUAAGUCAACAUUCAGUUGACUUUUCCAACUGAAGCUUCCUCAAAAAAGACUAAGUGUCUCAAACCGAACCCGAGCCAAAAACCCCGAUCACACGUACAACUAACAAUCAAAACAAUAAGAAAUAGAGAUGGAAGAAACAUAGCAAUAACUCAUGAGACGAUUGGCCGAGCUGUCACAAUAACUUGGGAAAGAAAUAUUAGGGGGAAGGGGGCGGCUGGAUGGGGGAAAGGGAGCGGGUAAGGGAGAGGGUGUGUGAGAGAGAGGGAAAUCAUAUCUUAUGUGGUUAGAUUAUAGGAAAAAUAUUCCAAUAGAGCGGGUGGGGUAGAAAAUGAGAGAGGGAGAAGGAAAA